rnacentral:lncRNA from 1 species
GGCUCUCGCCUGGGCUGUUUCCCGGCUUCAUUUCUCCCGACUCAGCUUCCCACCCUGGGCUUUCCGAGGUGCUGUCGCCGCUGUCCCCACCACUGCAGCCAUGAUCUCCUUAACGGACACGCAGAAAAUUGGAAUGGGAUUAACAGGAUUUGGAGUGUUUUUCCUGUUCUUUGGAAUGAUUCUCUUUUUUGACAAAGCACUACUGGCUAUUGGAAAUAAACUCCUGUAGCCUAUGAUGAAUAUUUCAGAACCAAGAGGAAUACCCUUGGGUGACAUAUUUAUGGGCAGCUUUCCUCUUUAUGCCUUGCCAACUCAUCUGCUUGACUAAGCCUUCCUCAUCCAGCUAAAACUAGGAAAACUACUGCAGACACAGAUGCCCCUUGGUUUUAUUUGUAGCCGGCUUGGCUUUUGUAAUUGGUUUAGAAAGAACAUUCAGAUUCUUCUUCCAAAAACAUAAAAUGAAAGCUACAGGUUUUUUUCUGGGUGGUGUAUUUGUAGUCCUUAUUGGUUGGCCUUUGAUAGGCAUGAUCUUCGAAAUUUAUGGAUUUUUUCUCUUGUUCAGGGGCUUCUUUCCUGUCGUUGUUGGCUUUAUUAGAAGAGUGCCAGUCCUUGGAUCCCUCCUAAAUUUACCUGGAAUUAGAUCAACUACAUAGGCCCAGAAGAGAUCCACAGUAAUGUUUGUAGAUAAAGUUGGAGAAAGCAACAAUAUGGUAUAACAACAAGUGAAUUUGAAGACUCAUUUAAAAUAUUGUGUUAUUUAUAAAGUCAUUUGAAGAAUAUUCAGCACAAAAUUAAAUUACAUGAAAUAGCUUGUAAUGUUCUUUACAGGAGUUUAAAACGUAUAGCCUACAAAGUACCAGCAGCAAAUUAGCAAAG